rnacentral:rRNA from 1 species
AUUGAACGCUGGCGGCAGGCCUAACACAUGCAAGUCGAGCGGAUGAAAGGGGCUUGCUCCUGGAUUCAGCGGCGGACGGGUGAGUAAUGCGCAGGAAUCUACCUAGUAUGGGGGGAUAACGUUUCGAAAGGAACGCUAAUACCGCAUACGUUCUGAGGAAGAAAGCAGGGGAUCGUAAGACCUUGCGCUAUUAGAUGAGCUUGCGUCCGAUUAGCUAGUUGGUGGGGUAAAGGCCUACCAAGGCGACGAUCGGUAACUGGUCUGAGAGGAUGAUCAGUCACACUGGAACUGAGACACGGUCCAGACUCCUACGGGAGGCAGCAGUGGGGAAUUUUGGGACAAUGGGGGCAACCCUGAUCCAGCCAUGCCGCGUGAGUGAAGAAGGCCU